rnacentral:rRNA from 1 species
UACAGAGGUCCCAAGCGUUAGGCGGAAUCACUGGGCUUAAAGGGUGCGUAGGCGGGUCUUUAAGUCAGGGGUGAAAUCCUGGAGCUCAACUCCAGAACUGCCUUUGAUACUGGGGAUCUUGAGUUCGGGAGAGGUGAGUGGAACUGCGAGUGUAGAGGUGAAAUUCGUAGAUAUUCGCAAGAACACCAGUGGCGAAGGCGGCUCACUGGCCCGAUACUGACGCUGAGGCACGAAAGCGUGGGGAGCAAACAGG